rnacentral:rRNA from 1 species
GACGAACGCUGGCGGCGUGCCUAAUACAUGCAAGUCGAGCGAAGUUUUUCUGGUGCUUGCACCGGAAAAACUUAGCGGCGAACGGGUGAGUAACACGUAAAGAACCUGCCUCAUAGACUGGGACAACUAUUGGAAACGAUAGCUAAUACCGGAUAACAGCAUUAACUGCAUGGUUGAUGUUUAAAAGUUGGUUUUGCUAACACUAUGAGAUGGCUUUGCGGUGCAUUAGCUAGUUGGUGGGGUAAAGGCCUACCAAGGCGACGAUGCAUAGCCGACCUGAGGGGGUGAUCGGCCACCCGGGGAGUGAGACACGCCCCAGACCCCUAGGGGGGGCAGGAGGAGGGAAUUUUCCGCAAUGGGCGAAAGCCUGAGGGAGCAACGCCGGGGGAGGGAAGAAGGUUUUCGGUUCGAAAAGCUCUUUUUUUAGGGAAAAAAGAUUGUGUAGUAACUAAACACAGUAGGGACGGUACCUAACCAAAAAGCCCCGGCUAACUACGU